GACGAACGCUGGCGGCGUGCCUAAUACAUGCAAGUAGAACGCACAGUUUAUACCGUAGCUUGCUACACCAUAGACUGUGAGUUGCGAACGGGUGAGUAACGCGUAGGUAACCUGCCUGGUAUCGCGGGAUAACUAUUGGAAACGAUAGCUAAUACCGCAUAAUAUUGAUUAUUGCAUGAUAAUUGAUGGAAAGAUGCUAUUGCAUCACUACCAGAUGGACCUGCUUUGUAUUAGCUAGUAGGUGAGGUAACGGCUCACCUAGGCGAAGAUACAUAGCCGACCUGAGAGGGUGAUCGGCCAAACUGGGAAUGAGAACAGGCCCAGACCCCUAAGGGAGGGAGCAGUAGGGAAUCUUCGGCAAUGGACGAAAGUCUGACCGAGCAAAGGCGGGUGAGUGAAGAAGGUUUUCGGAUCGUAAAGAUCUGUUGUAAGAGAAGAACGGGUGUGAGAGUGGAAAGUUCACACUGUGACGGUAUCUUACCAGAAAGGGACGGCUAACUACGUG
rnacentral:rRNA from 1 species